GCACUGUGAUUAUGGUUUCGAUUACUGGGGGAAAGGCACAAUGGUCACCGUCACCUCAGCCACUCCAGCUAUACCAACUCUGUUCCCUGUGAUGCCAUGUGGAUCUGGGACUGGACAAACGGUCACUCUUGGCUGCCUCGCCACAGGCUUCACACCCUCCUCACUGACUUUCGCUUGGGACAAAAAUGGAGCUGCCUUGACAGAUGCUAUUCAGUACCCUUCGGUACUGAAAGGCAACUUCUACACAGGAGUCAGUCAAAUCCGAGUCCCGCGACAGGAGUGGGACAAUAGCCGGCCAUUUAAGUGUACUGUGACGCAUGAAGCAGGAAGUCCACAAAUUACCCUCCAAAAGCCAAAGGUAUUAUUUAGUUCACCCGAACUGAAAGUGUCUGCCUUCUAUGGUGAGAAAAACGAGGCCUCCUUCUUCUGCUCUGCCGAAAAUUUUUCACCAAAAGAUUACCAGAUCAAAUGGAUGAAAAAUGGAGACGAUUUCACUGACAUAAUCUCUGAAAUCACAACAUCCACUGAGGAACAUAAAAGCGAGAAUGGUACACUGUACAGUGCAACAAGUAUUCUCAGAGUGCAUACCAGUGACUUGCCUGAAUCGGCUAAGAUUAAAUGCCAGUUCAAGGGGAAAGACGCCAGUGGUGUCAAACUCACUGAAGCCUUUGUGACCUACAAGCCCAUAACAUGCACAAAAGGAUGUAUGGAAGCAGACGUGGACGUAUAUAUCGAAGGCCCCACAGAGCAGGACAUGUUAGUAGACAAAACAGGAACCAUAAAAUGCCAUGUUAAGGUGAAGAACCCAACUGUUAUGAAGAUUUAUUGGGAAAACCAUGAUGGAGAGGAAAUACCUGAUGCCACUUUGAAACCUAAUGGGAGAGGAGAUUCAUACAUCGUUCCUGUUGACAUCACAUAUGAUGAAUGGAGCCAGGGGAUAAAGCUCAACUGUGUUGUGGAACACAGCGAUUGGUUUGAGCUAUUAAGGACACCCUAUGAAAGGAGUACAGGAGUGCAGACUCAGCGUCCGUCAGUGUUUAUGAUGCCACCAGUAGAACACGUUAAAAAAGACACAGUGACUCUGACUUGCUAUGUGAAAGACUUCUCCCCUCCAGAGGUUUUCGUUUCUUGGCUUGUUGAUGAUGAAUACCCUUCAGGAUACAAGUUCAAUACCACAAACCCUAUUGAAAGCAAUGGAUCCUACUCGGCUUAUGGCCAGUUAUCACUCAGCCUCGAGCAGUGGAAAAAAGAGGGUGUGAUGUACAGCUGCGUUGUUUACCACCAAUCUGUGGUUAACAAUACAAAAGCCAUUGUGAGAUCCAUUGGCCACAAAACUUCUGAAACAACCAACCUGGUCAACCUCAACUUGAACAUACCAUGCAAGGCCCAGUAGAUGCUAUUUUAUGUCUUCUGCUGUUUGUUAAUGUUUGUUGCUUUUGAUAUGACAUUGUGUUUGUCUUUUUAAUGCAGAUUCAAAAUCAAAAUAAAAAAAAAAGCACUUUGCAA